rnacentral:rRNA from 1 species
UACCAGCACCCCGAGUGGUCGGGACGAUUAUUGGGCCUAAAGCAUCCGUAGCCGGUCAUGCAAGUCUUCCGUUAAAUCCACCUGCUUAACAGAUGGGCUGCGGAAGAUACUAUAGGGCUAGGAGGCGGGAGAGGCAAGCGGUACUCAGUGGGUAGGGGUAAAAUCCUCUGAUCCAUUGAAGACCACCAGUGGCGAAGGCGGCUUGCCAGAACGCGCUCGACGGUGAGGGAUGAAAGCUGGGGGAGCAAACCGG